rnacentral:rRNA from 1 species
GCAAGUCGAACGAGAAACUUUUGGAGCUUGCUUUGGAAGUUUCUAGUGGCGAACGGGUGCGUAACACGUGAGUAACCUGCCCAAGAGAGGGGGAUAGCUCGAGGAAACUCGAAUUAAUACCGCAUAUGGUCUAUCAGGUCAUCCUGAGACGACUAAAGGUGGGGAUCUUAGGACCUGCCGCUCUUGGAUGGACUCGCGGCCUAUCAGCUUGUUGGUGAGGUAAAGGCUCACCAAGGCUACGACGGGUAACUGGUCUGAGAGGACGAUC